rnacentral:rRNA from 1 species
GAUGAACGCUGGCGGCGUGCCUAAUACAUGCAAGUCGAGCGAACGGACGAGAAGCUUGCUUCUCUGAUGUUAGCGGCGGACGGGUGAGUCACACGUGGAUAACCUACCUAUAAGACUGGGAUAACUUCGGGAAACCGGAGCUAAUACCGGAUAAUAUUUUGAACCGCAUGGUUCAAAAGUGAAAGACGGUCUUGCUGUCACUUAUAGAUGGAUCCGCGCUGCAUUAGCUAGUUGGUAAGGUAACGGCUUACCAAGGCAACGAUGCAUAGCCGACCUGAGAGGGUGAUCGGCCACACUGGAACUGAGACACGGUCCAGACUCCUACGGGAGGCAGCAGUAGGGAAUCUUCCGCAAUGGGCGAAAGCCUGACGGAGCAACGCCGCGUGAGUGAUGAAGGUCUUCGGAUCGUAAAACUCUGUUAUUAGGGAAGAACAUAUGUGUAAGUAACUGUGCACAUCUUGACGGUACCUAAUCAGAAAGCCACGGCUAACUACGUG